rnacentral:lncRNA from 1 species
UUUGUGGUUGGAAGAAAUGUAUAAUUAGAGAGGCUCAGGACUGAAACUGUGUUGGCAUUGACUACAGCCAUACCUUCAUGAAUCACGGCAUCUGCAUGCUAUGAGAAGGGCUAGGGGUAGUGGAGGUCGUUUUCUGAAUAAAAAGAAGCUGGAUGAUCACAUCACCAGUCCUAACUCAGAAAAGGGUAUGAAUUCAGAUGAAAACAUUUCAGCUAAAUCAGCUUACUUAUCUGGGUUUGAGUGCUUAUCUUCCAGUGGUACUGGAAAUUUGAGUUCCUUCUACGGACAGCAAGAGGGAAAUGUGUCACUAGUUAAGGAUUUGCAUGAAGCACAGCCUUUAAGUAACGGUACACCCCACUUAUCAUCUA